rnacentral:rRNA from 3 species
UGGGGAAUAUUGCACAAUGGAGGGAACUCUGAUGCAGCGACGCCGCGUGAACGAAGAAGGCUUUCGAGUCGUAAAGUUCUUUUAUAUGGGAAGAUAAUGAUGGUACCAUAAGAAAAAGCCCCGGCUAACUACGUGCCAGCAGCCGCGGUAAUACGUAGGGGGCUAGCGUUGUCCGGAAUCACUGGGCGUAAAGGGUUCGCAGGCGGAAAUGCAAGUCAGGUGUAAAAGGCAGUAGCUUAACUACUGUAAGCAUUUGAAACUGCAUAUCUUGAGAAGAGUAGAGGUAAGUGGAAUUUUUAGUGUAGCGGUGAAAUGCGUAGAUAUUAAAAAGAAUACCGGUGGCGAAGGCGACUUACUGGGCUCAUUCUGACGCUGAGGAACGAAAGCGUGGGUAGCAAACAGG